CCUACGGGAGGCAGCAGUGGGGAAUAUGGACAAUGGAAUGGAGCCUGAUCCAGCCAUACCGCGUGUGUGAAGAAGGCAUUGGGGUUGUAAAGCACUUAAGCAGGGAGAAAAAGUUAUAAGUUAAUACCUUAUAACCUGAUG
rnacentral:rRNA from 1 species